rnacentral:rRNA from 1 species
CGGGUGAGUAACACGUGGGUGACCUGCCUUCGAGCGGGGGAUAACGUCCCGAAAGGGACGCUAAUACCGCAUGACAUCCUGUCUUUCGACAGGCGGAGAUCAAAGCCGGGGAUCGCAAGACCUGGCACUCGAAGAGGGGCCCGCGCCCGAUUAGCUAGUUGGUGAGGUAACGGCUCACCAAGGCAACGAUCGGUAGCCGGCCUGAGAGGGCGGACGGCCACACUGGGACUGAGACACGGCCCAGACUCCUACGGGAGGCAGCAGUGGGGAAUUGUUCGCAAUGGGCGCAAGCCUGACGACGCAACGCCGCGUGGAGGAUGAAGAUCUUCGGGUCGUAAACUCCUUUCGAUCGAGACGAACGGCCUCCGGGUGAACAAUCCGGAGGAGUGACGGUACCGAGAGAAGAAGCCCCGGCUAACUCCGUGCCAGCAGCCGCGGUAAUACGGGGGGGGCAAGCGUUGUUCGGAAUUACUGGGCGUAAAGGGCUCGUAGGUGGCCAACUAAGUCAGACGUGAAAUCCCUCGGCUUAACCGGGGAACUGCGUCUGAUACUGGAUGGCUCGAGUUUGGGAGAGGGAUGCGGAAUUCCAGGUGUAGCGGUGAAAUGCGUAGAUAUCUGGAGGAAC